AUUGAACGCUGGCGGCAGGCCUAACACAUGCAAGUCGAACGAGUGGCGGACGGGUGAGUAAUGUCUGGGAAACUGCCUGAUGGAGGGGGAUCACUACUGGAAACGGUAGCUAAUACCGCAUACCAUCAGAUGUACCCAUAUGGGAUUAGCUUGUUGGUGGGGUAACGGCUCACCAAGGCGACGCUCCCUAGCUGGUCUUAGAGGAUGACCAGCCACACUGGAACGGAGACACGGGCCAGACGCCUACGGGAGGCAGCAGUGGGGAAUAUUGCACAAGGGGCGCAAGCCUGAUGCAGCCAUGCCGCUUGUAUGAAGAAGGCCUUCGGGUUGUAAAGUACUUUCAGUCGGGAGGCGUUACCCGCAGAAGAAGCACCGGCUAACUCCGUGCCAGCAGCCGCGGUAAUUC
rnacentral:rRNA from 1 species